rnacentral:rRNA from 1 species
CAAGUCGAACGGCAGCACAGCAGUAGCAAUACUGUGGGUGGCGAGUGGCGGACGGGUGAGUAAUGCAUCGGGAUCUACCCAAACGUGGGGGAUAACGUAGGGAAACUUACGCUAAUACCGCAUACGUCCUAUGGGAGAAAGCGGGGGACCGAAAGGCCUCGCGCGGUUGGACGAACCGAUGUGCGAUUAGCUAGUUGGUAGGGUAAUGGCCUACCAAGGCGACGAUCGCUAGCUGGUCUGAGAGGAUGAUCAGCCACACUGGAACUGAGACACGGUCCAGACUCCUACGGGAGGCAGCAGUGGGGAAUAUUGGACAAUGGGCGCAAGCCUGAUCCAGCAAUGCCGCGUGUGUGAAGAAGGCCUUCGGGUUGUAAAGCACUUUUAUCAGGAGCGAAAUACUACUGGCUAAUAACCGGUGGGGCUGACGGUACCUGAGGAAUAAGCACCGGCUAACUUCGUGCCAGUAGCCGCGGU